rnacentral:rRNA from 2 species
AGAGUUUGAUCCUGGCUCAGGAUGAACGCUGGCGGCGUGCCUAAUACAUGCAAGUCGAACGCUUCACUUCGGUGAAGAGUGGCGAACGGGUGAGUAAUACAUAAGUAACCUGGCAUCUACAGGGGGAUAACUGAUGGAAACGUCAGCUAAGACCGCAUAGGUGUAGAGAUCGCAUGAACUCUAUAUGAAAAGUGCUACGGGACUGGUAGAUGAUGGACUUAUGGCGCAUUAGCUGGUUGGUAGGGUAACGGCCUACCAAGGCGACGAUGCGUAGCCGACCUGAGAGGGUGACCGGCCACACUGGGACUGAGACACGGCCCAGACUCCUACGGGAGGCAGCAGUAGGGAAUUUUCGGCAAUGGGGGAAACCCUGACCGAGCAACGCCGCGUGAAGGAAGAAGUAAUUCGUUAUGUAAACUUCUGUCAUAGAGGAAGAACGGUGGAUAUAGGGAAUGAUAUCCAAGUGACGGUACUCUAUAAGAAAGCCACGGCUAACUACGUGCCAGCAGCCGCGGUAAUACGUAGGUGGCGAGCGUUAUCCGGAAUUAUUGGGCGUAAAGAGGGAGCAGGCGGCACUAAGGGUCUGUGGUGAAAGAUCGAAGCUUAACUUCGGUAAGCCAUGGAAACCGUAGAGCUAGAGUGUGUGAGAGGAUCGUGGAAUUCCAUGUGUAGCGGUGAAAUGCGUAGAUAUAUGGAGGAACACCAGUGGCGAAGGCGACGAUCUGGCGCAUAACUGACGCUCAGUCCCGAAAGCGUGGGGAGCAAAUAGGAUUAGAUACCCUAGUAGUCCACGCCGUAAACGAUGAGUACUAAGUGUUGGGAGUCAAAUCUCAGUGCUGCAGUUAACGCAAUAAGUACUCCGCCUGAGUAGUACGUUCGCAAGAAUGAAACUCAAAGGAAUUGACGGGGGCCCGCACAAGCGGUGGAGCAUGUGGUUUAA